CUCCCUGAGGCCUGGGGUGGGAGUUGGGGGGGAGGUACUGCAGGGCCGAAUGGGAAGGGAGAAACGAGGACCCCUGGAACAGGGGCCUUCCCACUUUCUUUAUAGGGGUUAGAGUGGGAGCUGCCAUUGGUGGGCAGGGCCAAGCCCCCUGCCACUGAUUGGCUCUCGGGAGAGCACGUGACUCAAACUGGCCAAUCAGCCCUUCCCAAGAGUGCGCUCUGGGGCGUGGGAGCCAGCCGAGGGGAGGCACAGAGGGGACAAGGAGCUGCCAGGUGGAGAUGGGGCGGGAGGAGGGGGAGCUGGGCGCCUGUCCCGCCUGACUGGGGGAGCCAGAGAGGCCGGCUCGGGCCUCACCUUGGGAGGGCCCAGCAGCGUGACUUACUGGCAUCUGCCCAGCCUCAGUUUCUGCAUCUGGAAAGCGGAGGCGAUAAUCGCUGCCCGGCCGCCCUGCCCUAGACGGCAGUGAGCAGCGCCGGCUGGAGACGCAGGGCACGAAAGUGCUGCCUACCUGUGUGUAAUCUUAAUUCACUCAUCGUCCAGAGCGGUGACGAGGAGGGCGAGGAUCGCGAUGGCCACUGUCAAUCAAACCACACCAAUUCCCUGCGCAAGUACGGCGUCUUCCUGCCUCUGCAUUUUCUUAACCAUCCGUGAGAGAGUCAGUAGAGCCGUUGUGUAAAUUAGACACGAGCACAACUUCUCCUGUUGCAUAGCGUGCUCCGGGUUGGGCACCUGGUGGACCACUAAGUAUCCCAUUGGUCUUGCCAAGUAAUGACUGCCGGGGCCCAGCUUCGGCUGCAUCAGGGGACCAGCUAAUGUGAACCCGCAGUGCCUCCGGGCCCCAGACAACAGGGGUCCCUUAGAACACAGUAAUUGAGGGGAAUCGCUAAAGGGAAAGCAAGUUCAGGAGAGGGCAAACGCACACCGACACCAGACCGAAUCAUUUUUGCUGACUUGGUAGAGAAGAAGCUUGGAGGGAAGGUUCCAGAAGGUCUUGUGCUGUACUAUUCUACCAGAAAGCUGCGUCCGUUUUGAAUGAAGGGAACUUACACUAACGUUCAGAGGAGCACAGCAGCGUUGUGGCAGGAGUCCCUGGGUCGCCUGGUGUCCUGGAGGGGCUGGUGUAGAUGGAGGCAGGGCCACCCAUCACCUGGAACCCACGGAGGUAAGCCGGCUUUCCUAAGUCCCCACAAGGUUCUCAGGUUUGUUCAGGUGAACACACCUGGAAACCAUGCUGCAUUCUUUCAUUCCCAGUAUUUUGUCAUGACAAUUUUCAAACAUACAGCAAAGUUGAACAAAUUUUACAGUGAAUGCCGGGAUUCUAUUGGUAACAUUUUACAAGAUCACUUUGCACUUUGGUUUUAAUGUUUAUUUAUUUUUGAGAGAGAGACAGAGAGAGAAUGAGCAGGGAAGGAGCAGAGAGAGGGGGGACAGAGGAUCCAAGCAGUCACUGAGAGCAGAGAGCCCGGUGCAGGGCUCAGACUCACGAACCGUGAGAUCAUGACCUGAGCCUAAGUUGGACGCUUAACCGAUUGAGCCACCCAGGUGCCCCAAUUAGAUGCCACAUUUUGUUAGAGUCUAGUGUGGACAAGCAGUGGAGACAGAGACCCCAGAGGAGUCUGAACUGGUUUUGUGGGACAUGACUUCGGCAGCAGGCUCCUUGCUCCCUCCUCUGUCAGGGACACCCAGUCUGCUUGUCCUGAGGCCACUUCCUGGACUGCAGCGGGACCGUCACCGUGAGCCGAUUCAGAUUCAUAUCCAGGACACUUCGCGUAUUGUGACCCCUUCCCUGGCUGUGCUGUGCUCGCCUGGGUGGCAUCGGGGUCCCAGCCACAGUUCUUUUCCUGUCGUGCUUCCCAGCGCCAUUCACAGCGAAGGGGUGGGCUUCUAGGUGCUGCUCACCACCCUCCUGGACGUGGAAUAAGAUGGAAAGUGACUCUUGAGUGACUGUUGAGGUCUCAAGGGAGAAACAGAGCACGGCAGAGCUUGUAGAAUAUGGCCUUUAGGGAGUAUGGUGGCCGUCACCGUGACCCCGAUGAUAAUCACGUUACAUUUCGUACAACUCCUGUUUCGUGCCAGGAACACUUCUAACUGUCCCCCAGCACGCAUGCGCGAACGCAUUUCCUCCUUAGCUCCUCAGCCAGGCCAGCUCGGGGCCAUCUUCUCAUAAGGAGACACCUGUCUCAUCCCCUGGAUGACCCUCUGCUCCCAUCACUACAGAACUCACAGUGUGACCACCCGUCCUGUGACCCCCCGUCAUGUCUCCCCAAUGCCAGGAUCCCCAAGAUACUGGAUCUGUGACUUUACUUUUUAAAACUUUGUAUUGGGACGCCUGGGUGGCUCCGUUGGUUGAGCAUCUGACUCUUGAUUUCAGCUCAUGUCAUGAUCCCAGAAUUGUGGGAUUGAGCCCCGAGUCAGGCUCUGCACUAAGCAUGGGGCCUGCUUAAGAUUCUCUCCCUCCCUCUCUCUCUCUCUCUCUUUCUCUCCCUCUGCCUCCCGCCCCACUCAAAAAAAAAAAAAAAAAAACUCUUGUUAUUUUUUAUCUCUUUUUAAUGCAUUAAAGUAUAGAGUGUAUGAAAGCUCUCAUACCCAUCACCUGGCUUCAACAAUUACCAAUUAACCACCUUUUUACUAUUCCUCCUGGUCUCUCCCUUCUCUCGACUCCUUUUGUUUUUCCAGGAGUAUUUUUUUUUUCAAUAGACUUUCUUUUUUAGCACAGUUUUAGAUUCACAGAAAAGGGGUGAAGAUAGCACACGGUUCGCAUACACCGGGCCCCCAGUCUCUCCACUGUAAAUAGUUUCCAUUAGUCUCGUACGUCUGUUAUAAUCAGUGAACCCAUAUUAAUGUAUCAUUGUUAACUAAAAUACGUACUUUAGUUUGGUUCCCUUGCCUUGUACUUAAUAUCCUUUUGGUGUUCCAGGACCCCAUCUAGGACACCGCGUUACAUGUCAUUGUCAUGUCCCCUGAGCUCCUCUGGGCUGUGACAGUGUCUCACACUUUCCUUGUUGUUAAUGACCUUGGCAGUCUUGAGGAGUACUGGACAGGCAUUUUGUAGGACGCCCCUCAGCUGGGCUUUGUCUUAUGGUUAGACUGGGCUAUGGGUUUGGGGGAGGAAGACCAUGGAGGGGAAGUGUCCUUCUAACCCGUCAUAGCAGGGCACCUGCCAUCAACAUGACUGAUAACGGUCAACGCUGACUUUCGUCAUCUGGGUGAGGUGCGUCUGUCGGCCUUCUCUGCUGUGAGGCCGCCCUGUCCUCCUGUCCGUUCUGUCCUCUUUGGGAGGAAGUCACUACACACAGCCCAGCCUUAAGGAGUGAGGAAUUACUCUCCAGCAUCUUGAGGGCAGAGUGCAGGGAGUAUUUUAAAGCAAAGCCCAGGCAUCCUGUCGCUUCGUGUUUAAAUACUUUAAAUACUGUGUUAAUAUACAUUUCUAAUGAUAAGGGCUUUUAUUUUUCUAAGUUUAUUUAUUUAUUUUGAGAGAGAGAGAGAGGGAGACAGAGAAUCCCAAGCAGGCCCCGUGCUGUUAGCGUCACUUGCACACAUUUUUGUAUAAACGUUCAGAGCAGCUGCGUCCAUGACAAGCCAAAGAUUGCCUGCAGCCACCAGAAGCUGGGAGAAUCCUGGAAAGAAUCCUCUCUCAGAGCCUCCAGAAGGAGUUAACCUUGCCGAUACCUUGAUUUCUGGCCGCGGACCCCCAGAACUGGGAGAGCACAGAUGGCUGCUUUUUUAAGCCAUUAAGAUCGUGGUGAUUUGUGACAGCAGGAAACCUGGGAAACCGAUACUCUGUGUGUGUGUGUGUGUGUGUGUGUGUGUGUGUGUGUGUGUACAUAUAUGUGUAUGUAAAUUUUCCAAAUUCCUGCUCAACAAUACAUCUCUUGGUGUAUACAUUUUUUGGAGAGCAUAGAUAGUGAAUUAAUACUGCUAUUUUCUCAUAUUUUGCAAAAACAAGGCAUCCCGACUGUGGGUACACGUACCUCGCGUGUCCCUUUGGUCUCAGCCUUGAGGACAGCGGCUUCAUCGGGGGCCCCUGUGGCCCUGGGAUUUGCUACCAGAAGGGGGGGCACGGGGCGCAGGGGAUCGCCCACCUCAACACGACUGGUGCAGUGAAAUCAAGCAUCCAAGUGACAGCAAGGAGCCCAGAAGGGAAAGUGCAGCCGCAAUUCCAUUUGGAGAAUUCAACCGCGAUUCGCCGUGUCCGCGCCUCAAGCAGAUAAAUGUCACCCUGGCUGGUUCCUGUUGGUUUUCUGCAGGCACUUAGCUACCACCCCGUGAGCUGGCUGUCUUCUGGAUGGUGUCUUUCGUGCCCCGUGAAAUAAGCACACGUCUCUUCCUGGAUGGGCCCCCUCGCUGAGCCACCCUAGACCCGCUCACGUCAACUGCCCUGGCCUCCAGGUCCUGCUGCUUCCCAGUAACUUGCUCCUUUAGAGCAAAGCACCCCAGAUCCAGCCCCUCUGCUUUGUUCGUGAGACCCUGCAUCUCGUCCUUCAGUUCGUUCAUUCAUUCAGUCAGUCAGUCAAUCACCUCAGUUCACCCCCUCCCACUGGUGAGUCAUUUCACCUGCGUCUCCCCCCAGCUGCCGGGCUGGCCCUCCAAAACCCAGACCGGAAGGAGCUCCUCCUGGUCCUGGAUCCUUCAGAGGCUUCCACACCAACCUCACGGUGCGGCUACGGGACCCUUCCCAUGGGGCACCACCCUUCCUUCCCCCCGCCGCCCACCCAUUCUACAUGAGGUCCAGACGCACAGAACGUGUUCGCACACACAGAUCCUUCCACUUGGGGUAACAAUGCUUCCACCUUCUCUGCCUGGUGAACUUUUCCUGACCCUAUGAGACCCAGCAUAAAACGCCCACUGUUUUAGGUGCACACCCAAAGGAAAUUGAAAGCAGGGACUCGCACAGAUAUUUUUACAUACGUGUUCAGAGCAGUGUUCACAACCACUAAGAGAUGGAAACAACCCAAGAGUCCAUCAACAGAUGAACGGAUAAACAACAUGUGGUCUAUACAUACAAUGGAAUAUUAUUCACCCAUAAAAAAGAAGGAAAUAAGCGAGACACAGAAGGGCAACUGUUGUAUGGAUGGUUUUAAUUAAAAGAAGUAGAUACCUAGAAUAGGAAAAUUAUCUCGAACUAGAAAGUAGAGUAGAGGUCUCCAGGGGCUGAGCAGAUGUCUUAGGGAGUCAGUGUUCCAUGGGCACAGAGUUUUUGUUGGGGGUGGAUGGAAAACUCUUAGGUAUAGAAGGUAUAGGUUCAACAAUACCGUAAAUGUAUCUGAUGUCACUGGUGUCCACUUAUGAAUGGCUGACCCCAUAACUACCAUGGCAUGUGUAUUUUAUCAUAAUUUUUAAAGAUUAAAAAAAAGCUUUUUAAUGUUUAUUUUUGAGAGAGAGAGAGAGAAAGAGAGACAGAGUGCCAGCAGGGGAGGGGCAGAGAGAGAGGGAGACACAGAAGCCGAAGCAGGCUUCCGGCUCUGAGCUGUCAGCACAGAGCCCGACACGGGGCUCAACCCCACGAACUGGGAGAUCAUGACCUGAGCCAAAGUUGGAUGUUUAACCGACUGAGCCACCCAGCACCGCUUCAGAAUUUUUUUAAAGCAACCUCUAUAGCCAGCGUGGGGCUCAAACUCACAACCCCGAGAUCAAGAGUCGCACACGCCAUUGAUUGAGCCAGCCAGGUGCCCCUGAUUUUUUAAAAAAAAAACUUUAAAAAAGAAAUUCCAGAUGCUCUGAGACACCUCCCUCAGUUUCCCAAACGUGACCAGUGCUUCCCUUCUCUGUACAUUUGGAGUCUUCCUGUGGUAGGCGUUUGCUGAAUCGCACCUUAAAUGUCCAUUCAUUUGGACAGGUCGGGGCGCCUGGCUGGCUCAGUCGGUUAAGCGUCGGACUUUGGCCUAGGUCAUGAUCUCAUGGUUCGAGCCCCGUGUGGGGCUCUGUGCUGACAGCUCGGAGUGUGGAGCCUGCUUCGGAUUCUGUGUCUCCCUCGUUCUCUGCCCCUCCCCCGCCCAUGCUCUCUCUCCCUCUUUCUCUCAAAAAUAAACAUUAAAAAAAUUUUUUUUAAAUGUCCAUUCAUGGGGCACCUGGCUGGCUCAGUGACUUAAGGAUCUGACUCUUGGUUUCAGCUCAGGUCCUGGUCUCACAGUUCGUGAGUUCAAGCCCUGCAUCGGGAGCCUGAUUGGGAUUCUCUCUCUCUCCCUCUCUCUCUGCCCCUCCCCUGCUCGCUCUCUCUGUCUCUCUCUCAAAAUAAAUAAAUAGACUUUUAAAAAACCUAUAAAAAAUAAAUAAA